AUUGAUAGAUUUUUCUAUGUUGAACCAACCCUGCUUCCCUGGGAUGAAGCCUACUUGAUCAUGUUCAUCAUUUCACUGGCAGAUGAAAAACUGAUUUUUCAGCCCCAGAUGAAAGAGAAACUUCUAGAAGAUGAAGGUUAUUCUGCUUGCUGUUCUUGUCUGUUUGGUGUCUUCCAUGAAGGAGCCUUUACUGGAAAAAUAGGAAGUGCCAACUACACACAGUUUGGGCCGAGAGACCACCACAAAUUUGCUACUUACGGACAUGGAGAGAUUUCUUUGUAAAACACAAAGAAAAGGUUGGGGCUGAGAAAAUCGUUGGGAUCUGGGUGUUGCGUGAUGUCCCUCGUCAUUUCCCAAAAAUCUACUAUGAGCCACAGCUACAGGGGGGGUUAAUCAGACGUAAGUAAAGUCUCCAUUAUCUGUUUUCCACAACCAUGAGGAAAUAAAAUGCACAUAUGAGUAAUUACGUAGUAAAAAAAAUUAACAAACAAACUAAUAAAUAAUUACAAGUGAUUCUAAAGUUGAUCAUGUACAGUCAUAUACAUGACUUUGGUAUUUUGUGUUACAAGAUAAUGGAAUUUUCCCUGUCAAUAAUUUGAUGCAAAAUUUCUUAUAGUUUUUAUUGUCCUAGCAAACCUGCGAUUAUUAUGAAAGAAUUUUUGAUGUUUUUUAGAAAUAAUAUAAUUAAAAAUAACCACCAGAUACAAAUGAGUAGCAUUAUAUGGACUCAAAAAAUUAUAUUUAUGAAAAAUUAUAAAUUGUAUUUAUUUUAUGCAGUAAUAUUUUAUGUAAUCUAUAUUAUAUAUAAUUUAUAUAAGCAUGCAAUGAUAAUCUGAAAAAGACACUAAUUUCAAGGAGAUUGUGGAGGGGCAGACACUGUAAAUAUAAGGAAGAAAGGAAACUGGCAAAAUGAUGUAAUUAUAUUAAAAUCUCAAUAAAUAAGUAAAUAAGAGAUUCUAUAUCAUGUUUUAAUGAAGCACAAAUUGUUUCUUCCCAGAUCCAAGUAAAUUUCUUAUUUCGAUACAUUUUUUCUCGAACACCACCAUCAUAUUUGAAGCUGAAUAUGUUAAUGAUUUGGGGUUCGCACAGAGGCUGACUGGAGUAUUUGGUUGGUAAUUUUCAUAUGGGAGAAAGUAUUUUUCUGUUUGUUAGUUACAACAUAACUCUGGUCCAACAUUUCAUUGUGUGAUGCAUUCAUGCAGGAAGAUGUCCACACAUGUGUUCUCAAACACGAUCAGUAUUGUGUAAAGUUGAUUGGAAUUGUACAGGAUAAUAAUUUUAACAAUACUUUUAGUAUUCUUGAUUUCUAAAUAAGAGUGUUAGAUAUGAGGGGGUAGAAAUUUAUUGAUACAUUCACAGAAAGAAUGUUUGGCCUGACAUCAGAAUGAUUUGUCUGAAUGUAAUCCUCAUUCAGGUGGGUAUAACAAAGUAAUGGGAUUUACCAACAAUUUGAUGAAUUCAGACUUUUAGGUUUGAUGAUAACAAACAUGUAUUCUAACUUUUCCUCCAUGAAAUGAAGCAAAGGGAACAAAUAUUACUGAAGAAACAUGGAAAAGAUAUGUGAAGCUGACACAGGACUACAAAAUCCCUUUAAAAAAUAUUGAGAAUGUCUAUGAAGCAGGUAUUUCAGUUUCUGUAAACUGAUCUGAAAUUAGAGCAAAUCACAAAGAUUCUUUUUUUGUCUUAGCAAUGUAAAAUCCUUGGAGAAUAUAUGAAAGAAAUACAGUAAUAUUUUUAAAUUUUCUCCUUUUUUGUUUCAAUUCACAGAUGCAUGUCCUAAGUGGGAGCAUUGACUCAGUCAGCAGAAGCAUGGAGCAUGUCAUUGUUGGCUACUCAUUGAAAUCAAUUUUUGAGGUCUAUUCAAUCAUGUAAUCUAAAAGUAUUCAUAUUGUCACUCUGGAAAUUCUGUGUAUACUCCUUUUAUCAAUAAUUAAUACUGAUUUCAUCUUUGAUUAAAUACAUCGAUUUCAAAUAUUGCAAAAGUGUUUUCAAAAAGUACCCAAUGUGCAUCAUGCAGUGGAUUCUACUAAGAACCAAAAUAGUGGCUGCCUCAAUCAUCUCACUGUAAAUUUUAAAACUUGGCAGGUAGAAAUUUAUAAAUUUCCUAAGCAUGUCAUGUAUUUUAUAUUAUCUAUGUGAAUUUUUCAGAAAAAAAUUCUAAAGUAUUUUAUAGGAACACACAGUGUAAAGUGUCCCCCAAAUGGUGGAUUCUCAUAUGUACACAUCUGACCAGGAUUUAUAACAGAUGUUUUCAGAGUUGUUUCACUAGAGGCAAUCCUACAACUAUCUAUAUCUAUAUAUCUAUGAAACAACAAUUAUUGAAAGAUUGUUGUUUUAUGCUAAAGUUUUAUUAGGCAAGUACAUUGCUUUCUUUCUUGUUGUUAGAAGGAGAUAGACACUGAAGUCAAAAAAUAUGUUUAAUAUUCUUUAAUGAUAUAUAUAUUUAAUGUUUACAUAAUAAAGUACAAUAAUUCAAUUAUUAUUACUUUACUAAUUAUCCACAGCAACUGUAAGCAUUUAAUGGAAGUGAUUUUUCAACUUAUCAUUUCAUUUAUGCCCUCAGUUUGAUUAUUUCCUGGUAUGUACUCAUCCAGGGGAAAUUUGCUUCCAUUUGUUUGAGAGCUUUCUGCUGUGAUGUCAAUUCUUUUGUGACUAUUCUCUAGGAUAUUCAUGUGAGCACUUAGAGCAAUGAACUUUCCUCUUAGUACUGCUAACAAUGUGUCCCACGUGUUUGGGUAAGGUGUCUCUUCAUUUUCAUUGAAUUCUAGGAAGUCUUUAAUUUCCUUCUUUAUUUCUUCGUUGAUCCAGUAGUGAUACAAUUGCACAUUGUUCGGUUUCCAUGAGUUGGUAAGUUUUAUGCAGUUUGUUUUAUUUUUGAAUUCUAACUGUAAAGCAUGGUGGUCUGAUAAGACACAGGGGGUUAUUCCAAUAUUUUUGUACCUGUUGAGGUUUGCUAUGUU